CCUACGGGAGCAGCAGUGGGGAAUAUUGCACAAUGGGCGCAAGCCUGAUGCAGCCAUGCCGCGUGUAUGAAGAAGGCCUUAGGGUUGUAAAGUACUUUCAGUUGGGAGGAAGGCGUUGAUGCUAAUAUCAUCAACGAUUGACGUUACCAACAAAAGAAGCACCGGCUAACUCCGUGCCAGCAGCCGCGGUAAUACGGAGGGUGCAAGCGUUAAUCGGAAUUACUGGGCGUAAAGCGCACGCAGGCGGUUGAUUAAGUUAGAUGUGAAAUCCCCGGGCUUAACCUGGGAAUGGCAUCUAAGACUGGUCAGCCAGAGUCUUGUAGAGGGGGAUAGAAUUCCAUGUGUAGCGGUGAAAUGCCUAGAGAUGUGGAGGAAUACCGGUGGCGAAGGCGGCCCCCUGGACAAAGACUGACGCUCAGGUGCGAGAGCGUGGGGAGCAAACAGGAUUAGAUACCCCCGUAGUC
rnacentral:rRNA from 1 species